rnacentral:rRNA from 1 species
CGUGAGACUAUCAACUUGGAUUUUGUAAGUAGUUGCGAAUGAACACAAAUUUGAUCACUUUGGCAAUCUGUACACAUUGCUGUGUAACAAUUUGUAUACGUUGGCACAGUGCUAUCAAAGCUGCAUGCAAGUGUUUUUUGAAAGGAUACAACAUGGGAUGUGAUAUUCAUGUGUGUGUGCCUGCUUUGUCCACAGCCUGUGCUGUAUGAAUCACAUUUCUUGCAACUGAAAUGCUAAUGGCAUGGUAAAGUUCAUGUGACAUGACACAAGCUUGAGAUUCAUGAUGUGCAAGUACCAUGAGGGAAAUGUGAAAAGGACUUUGGAAAGAGAAUUAAAUAAAGCCUGCAUUUGCUGACAAUGAAAGCAAGUGUGGAUGUUCAUGUAAUUGUUACUGCAUCAAUCAAUGUUCAUCUUGGUUACUGCAUGCUUUAUAUUACAGCUCAGAACAUGAAGUGUGUGUAACAGCUCUGCUUUGAUUUUUCCCACAUGGGAUCAGUUGAAACAUUGUGAGAGCACUCUUCAGUUUCCUUAUGUACCCACCAGCUUUGUCCACUCGCGUGUUGGCACACAUGUAAUGAUGAUGUGUUUAUGCAAGAUACUUCUGUGCUCAACAACAUGUGUCAUCUCUCCUG